GGACGAGCGCUGGCGGCGUGCUUAACACAUGCAAGUCGAACGGAAAGGCCCUGCUUUUGUGGGGUGCUCGAGUGGCGAACGGGUGAGUAACACGUGAGUAACCUGCCCUUGACUUUGGGAUAACUUCAGGAAACUGGGGCUAAUACCGGAUAGGAGCUCCUGCUGCAUGGUGGGGGUUGGAAAGUUUCGGCGGUUGGGGAUGGACUCGCGGCUUAUCAGCUUGUUGGUGGGGUAGUGGCUUACCAAGGCUUUGACGGGUAGCCGGCCUGAGAGGGUGACCGGCCACAUUGGGACUGAGAUACGGCCCAGACUCCUACGGGAGGCAGCAGUGGGGAAUAUUGCACAAUGGGCGGAAGCCUGAUGCAGCAACGCCGCGUGCGGGAUGACGGCCUUCGGGUUGUAAACCGCUUUCGCCUGUGACGAAGCGUGAGUGACGGUAAUGGGUAAAGAAGCACCGGCUAACUACGUG
rnacentral:rRNA from 1 species